rnacentral:rRNA from 1 species
UACGAAGGGGGCUAGCGUUGCUCGGAAUCACUGGGCGUAAAGCGCACGUAGGCGGCUUUUUAAGUCAGGGGUGAAAUCCUGGAGCUCAACUCCAGAACUGCCUUUGAUACUGAGAAGCUUGAGUCCGGGAGAGGUGAGUGGAACUGCGAGUGUAGAGGUGAAAUUCGUAGAUAUUCGCAAGAACACCAGUGGCGAAGGCGGCUCACUGGCCCGGUACUGACGCUCAGGAGCGAAAGCGUGGGGAGCGAUCCGG